UACGUAGGGGGCAAGCGUUGUCCGGAAUCAUUGGGCGUAAAGAGCGUGUAGGCGGCCAGAUAAGUCCGCUGUGAAAUCUCGAGGCUCAACUUCGAGCUGUCGGUGGAAACUGUCUGGCUAGAGUCCGGAAGAGGAGAAUGGAAUUCCUGGUGUAGCGGUGAAAUGUGCAGAUAUCAGGAGGAACACCGAUGGCGAAGGCAGGUCUCUGGGCCACUACUGACGCUGAGAAGCGAAAGCAUGGGGAGCGAACAGG
rnacentral:rRNA from 1 species